rnacentral:other from 1 species
GGCGGGCUGCGCGGUUCGACAGGGAUGACAUUUCCCCGGGGCCUUAUCGAUCUCCAGGGAGCUGUCCCUGUUCCGGUCCGUGGGCCGGAGCACAUGGCGCCCACCUACUUUGUAGGUUCCCGGGAUCGACUUUCCCAUCGGCCGUCGUGGCUCGCCA